GGAUGUAAGGGUGAUCUUGCUGCGAUAUCUGUCACCCCAUUUAUCAUCAGGGUUGAUUCGGCUGAUCUGGGUGGCUAGGUGGGUGUCCCCUUCCUCCCUCACUGCUCCAUCUGCGUCCUUCCCGAAGCUGAGCACUUGGUGGAAGUGGAUGGCCUUCCCGGAAUAGAAACAGACCAGUCUUCUGUCGAGGUAUACAUACAAGUAGCUGCGCUCCCCUGCUAGAACCUCCAAACAAGCUCGCAUUCUCCCUGUGUAUAUUUUAAUUAUUUUAAGAUUUACUUACAUAUUUCAUGAGCUAUAGAA
ensembl:misc_RNA 7SK 7SK RNA